rnacentral:lncRNA from 1 species
GCGGACGACGUAGAAUCAAACGUUUUCGUCAGCGAGAAUCCCGUCGUGCAGCGCAAAAUGUCCACAUAUGCGAACCAGGGAUGAAAAUCCAUUCUUUGUCCCUAUCUCUCUCUCUGUCCUGCUGUACCGAUUGAUAUAUGAGCAGGGGAAUAAAAGUAUUUACCGCAUUUUUCUUUUCCCCCCUCUCUACCCAGCUCUCUCUCUCUCUCUN